UACGUAGGGUGCGAGCGUUAAUCGGAAUUACUGGGCGUAAAGGGCUCGUAGGCGGCCAACUAAGUCAUACGUGAAAUCCCUCGGCUUAACCGGGGAACUGCGUCUGAUACUGGAUGGCUUGAGUUCGGGAGAGGGAUGCGGAAUUCCAGGUGUAGCGGUGAAAUGCGUAGAUAUCUGGAGGAACACCGGUGGCGAAGGCGGCAUCCUGGGCCGACACUGACACUGAGGAGCGAAAGCCAGGGGAGCAAACGGG
rnacentral:rRNA from 1 species